UGCUCAUGGUUGAGCACCGUGCUAACCACACGGCGUUGUGGGUUCGAUUCCCGC
rnacentral:tRNA from 1 species